AUUGAACGCUGGCGGCAUGCCUUACACAUGCAAGUCGAACGGUAACAGGUCUUCGGAUGCUGACGAGUGGCGAACGGGUGAGUAAUACAUCGGAACGUGCCUAGUAGUGGGGGAUAACUACUCGAAAGAGUGGCUAAUACCGCAUGAGAUCUACAGAUGAAAGCAGGGGAUCGCAAGACCUUGUGCUACUAGAGCGGCCGAUGGCAGAUUAGGUAGUUGGUGGGAUAAAAGCUUACCAAGCCGACGAUCUGUAGCUGGUCUGAGAGGACGAUCAGCCAGACUGGGACUGAGACACAGCCCAGACUCCUACGGGAGGCAGCAGUGGAGAAUUUUGGACAAUGGGCGCAAGCCUGAGCCAGCAAUGCCGCGUGCAGGAUGAAGGCCUUCGGGUUGUAAACUGCUUUUGUACGGAACGAAAAGCCCCGGGUUAAUACCCUGGGGUCAUGACGGUACCGUAAGAAUAAGCACCGGCUAACUACGUGCCAGCCGCCGCCGUAA
rnacentral:rRNA from 1 species